rnacentral:lncRNA from 1 species
UAUAUAUAUAUAUAUAUAUAGAGAGAGAGAGAGAGAGAGAGAGAGAGAGAGAGAGUUGGACUGGGCUACUAUUAGUAGCAAAAUUCCAUUGUUGCUACCAAUUUUUUAGCCUUUGGAUCAACUAUUUUCAUUAUUUCUAACCAUUGGAUUAAAUACUAUAACCCAGUGGGGACCACCCUAGGGGACCACUCAACUGUAAUCGACUAAUAUCAUCCUGACCCUACAAUGUUUCAUCCAAGGGUUAAAAACUUGAUAGCAAAAAGAGCGUUUUACUAUUAAUAGUAUUCCAGCUUAAUUCUCUCUCUCUCUCUCUAUAUAUAUAUAUACUCUCUCUCUCUCUAUAUAUAUAUAUAUAGAGAGAGAGAGAGGAGUUUCAUUGUCAUCUUUUUGUUUUUGAUGAUAAACUUCAGAAUCGACGAUCGGCAUCGUUGAAUAUGAUUUAGAUUAUGUGAAGUUUCUAGAAAUUAAACAUCGUAUUUUUUUUUAUAUUGUUUUCUCAUACAUCAAAUGGACACAAAAUAAACUGUUGUUGAAAAUAAUUAAAUAUACUUCAAAAAAUAAUGAUAACAAUAUUCCGGUACUCACCGACCGUCUCUAGAGCAAGUGGCAAAGGGCUUGGUGGUUGGUACCUGAGACCCAAGUUCGAAUCCUAGUUGAUUCACAUUUCCAGCUAAGUUUAUUUCUAAAUGAAAUAAACGAAGCGGGUAGUGUGCUACCUAUCUCUCAAAAAAAUAUUUCAGUACUCAGGAUCAUGUAGAUUUUUCUUUUCUAAAUAGUUUAAAAUAUUUUCUAAUAAAAAUCUGACCGAUUUGGAUUCCUUUCCACUGUUAAAAGAACAAACUUCUCUUAUCGACCAUUAAAAUUACAAAUCAAAAUAUUUGAAAUUUAU